AUUGAACGCUGGCGGCAGGCCUAACACAUGCGAGUCGAACGGUAACAGGAAACAGCUUGCUGUUUCGCUGACGAGUGGCGGACGGGUGAGUAUGUCUGGGAAACUGCCUGAUGGAGGGGGAUAACUACUGGAAACGGUAGCUAAUACCGCAUAACGUCGCAAGACCAAAGAGGGGGACCCUCGGGCCUCUUGCCAUCGGAUGUGCCCAGAUGGGAUUAGCUUGUUGGUGGGGUAACGGCUCACCAAGGCGACGAUCCCUAGCUGGUCUGAGAGGAUGACCAGCCACACUGGAACUGAGACACGGUCCAGACUCCUACGGGAGGCAGCAGUGGGGAAUAUUGCACAAUGGGCGCAAGCCUGAUGCAGCCAUGCCGCGUGUAUGAAGAAGGCCUUCGGGUUGUAAAGUACUUUCAGCGGGGAGGAAGGGAGUAAAGUUAAUACCUUUGCUCAUUGACGUUACCCGCAGAAGAAGCACCGGCUAACUCCGUG
rnacentral:rRNA from 1 species